rnacentral:sRNA from 1 species
UCAAGUAUUUGUCUACUUACUACUUUCUC